rnacentral:rRNA from 1 species
GUCCUUUAGAGAAGAAUUUAAGGUCUAACCUGCCCAUUGAUUAUUUUAACGGCCGCAGUAUUUUGACUGUGCAAAGGUAGCAUAAUCAUUAGUUUUUUAAUUGAAAGCUUGUAUGAAUGGUUGGACGAGGCAUAACCUGUCUUUAUUUUAUAAUUAGAAUUUAAUUUUUAAGUUAAAAAGCUUAGAUUUAUUUAAAAGACGAGAAGACCCUAUAGAUCUUUAUAAUUAUAAAAAUUUAAUUUUUAAGGAUUAUUAAUUUUUAUAUUUUUAUUAUUAUUUGAUUGGGGUAAUAGAAAGAUUUGAUAAAUUCUUUUUGUUUUAAACAUUGAUAAAUGAUUUUUAUGAUCCAUUAUUAUUGAUUAUAAGAUUAAGUUACCUUAGGGAUAACAGCGUAAUUUUUUUUGAGAGUUCUUAUCGAUAAAAAAGUUUGCGACCUCGAUGUUGGAUUAAAGUUAAUUUUGGGUGUAGAAGUUCAAAAUUUUUAGUCUGUUCGACUAUUAAAAUUUU